GCCACCAGGACACCUGCAGCUGCUGCUGAGCAGGAACAGGUGCUGGGGAGGGGAGGGGGGCCCUGGGGACAAUGCAGGUUGGCACAUCUUCCAGAAGGCUAACUGGACUGUCAGGGAAGGCAAAAGGAGCUCGAGCUGUCUCCCUGGGAGGUAGGAGCAGCACCGGAGCCUCGGACAGCGCCGGCCGGGUGGUGGACAGGAGGGCGUCUCGACUUCAGCACCCAAAACGCGGACAGCUCCCAGCGGGCUACCAAGGAGCGGGGCUUCAGCACCAGCGCAGGGAGACCUGGAACUCAAGACAGUCCUCCUGCCUUGGUCGGCCACGUGUUGACUUUACAGACAGGAGCCACCAUAUCUGGCUUUUCCAUUCUCUUACAAAGCAGUAAGUUUCCCAAAGAUCUGGGAAGAUAUAAAGGUGAAGGCCAGCCUGGGCUACAUGGUGAUACCCUCAAACCAUUGGGUCUCCUAAGAACCUCACUACAGACCUGGGAACAACACAGCUCCUUUUUGUUGUUCUCUGCUCCAGUGGGGGGGGUGCAGACCUCAUGUCCGAGGGCCUGGAGUGAGAACUCCUUGCAGUUUCUCCCUGCUUCUCUAGCUCACUGGGUAGGGCUCCAUCUGUGACCUCACCAGGCACAUGGAGUGGGGGAUGGGAUCUGCCACAUGCCUGCUUCUUUUUUAACUAAAUGUCAGUUGUUUGAUUUUUAUCAAUAAAGCCUCGGGAGCCAGAUGCUGGGUGAAAGUCUGCUAGGUCAGAAAAGCAGUGAAAGAACCCAGCUGACCCUCCUCCUCCUCCUCCUCCAUCCCAGGAAAGACUCCCUUUCUCUUUCAGCGUCACAAAGAAGCCCUCAAACGGAAUGUCCCUCCCCUCUUCCUGUGUGUCCUUCUCUCCAUCCUCCUGACUCCCUCUUAUUCUGUUUUUUUUUUCUUCUUGUUCAUUUCCUGUCAACUGCUUGCAUGCUCUGCCUCUGAACCUAUGGUUGAUUUCAUUUAAUCCUAUUUACAAUAUCCAAGCAGAAAACUUUUGGAUUAAAGGUGUUUGGUAGGGUUAAGCCACACCACAACCAGAAACAGGUUUUUCCAGUAAAUAAAGCAAACUUAGGGUUCACAGUGUGAUCAAA